rnacentral:rRNA from 1 species
UACGUAGGGUGCAAGCGUUGUCCGGAAUUAUUGGGCGUAAAGAGCUCGUAGGCGGCUUGUCGCGUCGACUGUGAAAUCCCGCGGCUCAACUGCGGGUCUGCAGUCGAUACGGGCAGGCUAGAGUUCGGUAGGGGAGACUGGAAUUCCUGGUGUAGCGGUGAAAUGCGCAGGAUAUCAGGAGGAACACCGGUGGCGAAGGCGGGUCUCUGGGCCGAUACUGACGCUGAGGAGCGAAAGCGUGGGGAGCGAACAGG